CAAACCAACAUUUGUUGUUGAAGUAGAAGUCCUGGGAGUGCAUUCUGACGAAGAACAGCAAAGGUCCAGGACGUCCUCCACUCUCUCUUCUCCCGGGCCCAGGAUCCCUGCUCCUCCUGGACACGCUGCUUGGUCUUUUUGUGGUGGGAUCUUCUGUGGCGGCGUUCGUCGGAAGGGAGGAGACCAAGGUGCAGCGUGGAUGCACCUGAAACACCAUCCCCAGUGAUAAUGGUGGGAAAGGGCAGUGUGGAGUGCGAUUGAGAUUGCAUCAUCUGUGGAUCUGUUGGGGCGGUAUGCAAAUUGGAGUGGGUCUAGGGUUUCCGGAAUGAUGGUGUUGAUGUGAGCCAUGACCAGCCUUUCAAAAGUGAACGUGCCUUGUGUGUGCCCUGCCAGCUUGUGGCCUUGUGUCCUGCCAGCGUUGUCUGGCUGGUUAUUCAUGGCAGCAGGUGCUCUCCCUUAGCGGAAUGGGUCUCCAGCUUCUGUCCUCCAGGGCCUGAGGAACAAGGGACUCAUGACUCCACUGCACCUGAUCUCCUCCCCUGGCACCACUGGGCCGGUACCAGGCCACUGAUUAUGCAAAGCUUUUAGCAUGCAGAUAUGUUUUUGGGGGAAUGUAGCUUCUUUUGAAGGAAAAAAAUAUUUACGGGAACAAAGUUCCACAUCACACUAUAAUUUUCCCUUUGAUGUUUUAUGCACAGCGUUCCUUGGAGAGAGUUUGGGUGGUAGAGUGAGAGGGGCUCUGAGGAAAUGUAUUUUUCAUAGACCACUUAUAACGGGAAAAGCGCCAACAGGGGUUAAUUUUGACCCCAAGUGGUCAAAACCUUAUUUUUAUCCUUCUGAGAUUUUCGGACUUUAUCAACCAACUAGUUGCUGACCCAAAACAUAAUAAUUGACCAUGCUUUCUGUGUUAAUAUGGAGGAAUGAAAAAUUAUCUUAAUUUUCUAUACUAGUGGUGCAUGGCUAAGUUUAAAAUGUUGCCUCAGUAGUGCAUUUUGUGAUAAAAGCACCAAAUGUUGCACAGCUAUAUGUACCCUGACAACCCCAGAUUUUUUUUUUAUGUACAUAAAUUAAUCUCCAGCCAAGAAAAAAUGUAAAUACAGUUUGUAAUCUGGAAGAGAUUCAUUUGGUACACAUUAAUAGAAAUCAAAUGCACAAUAUAUUUUAGAGAUUGUCAUGCUCUAUGAGGAGUUCUCCAGAAUCUCACUUAAAGCAUUUCAAUGGCUCUACUGUGAACAACAUAGGUCAAUCAUACAAUAAACAUUCAAACAACAAACCACUGCCAGAAAAUCCUGAAUUGAUAUGUGAAUAUAAACAGCAAUGUAACUCAUAUAAUCCAAUUACCUGAUUAUUUGAUUCUGCGUUUAUUAAAUCAGAGUUUUACUGUAAGUGUGAAUCUCAACUGUAAAUUCAGCCCUAAAACAAUUAUCACAGUAACACAUCAACCCCUAACUCCCUCCCAUCUACUGAAACAGACCAAGGGAAGAUUGGCUGCAGUUUUACCAUGUUUUACAUUGAUGUGAUUAAUUGUAUGGCGCUCAAUCAAUCGAUCUGUUCCUUUUCUUCCUCUCCCUCUCUAUCCCUCUCUAUCCCUCUCUUAGCUUCCAGUCAAUGUUUAUAUACCAAUUUGAGAGUAUCAUCUUUCAGCUGCGAUUGGAACUGAGUUGACAGCCCACAGUGUUCCAAAGUUAGAGCAAAAAUUCUGAUGGCACUGGCGCCAAUGUUGCAUAUAUCACCAAAAACGGUGGCCAUCUUAGGUUGUAGCUCAAUCGCCAAUUCCUCAGCCUCUGAGAGUCACAUAAACAACGCUUUCUGUAGGACAGACGCUGGAAGACGAGAAGCAAGUAUAGGGAGUGAACAUUAAAUGAAUAACUGACAAGAAACAAACAAGGACAGCGUCUGAACAGGGGAAACAUAACGACAAUAAUGCUUACACGGGGAACAAACUUAGGAACAGACAGAUAUAUGGCAAUCAACAAAGUGAAGGAUUCCAGGUGAGUCCAAUAUUGCACUGAUGUGUGAAAUGAUGGUGACAGAUGUGAGUAGUGAUGGGCAACCUGGUGCCUUCGAGCACCAGGGAGUGGGAGCAGACAUGACAGCUUUCAAUGAAUAACAGAAACAUGUUCAUGACAAGUUGCUAUGGAUGGAAUUUAUCAAAAUAAUAUAUGCUUAUUUUGGGGAAAUAAAACCAAUAACUUGUGUUACAAAAGGUUAAUAAAAGGAAACGUGUUACCUGCUUGACAGACACUAACCACAUUUCCAUCCAUAGAUUUCCUGCGAAUAAAGUCCUACCGUAUUUAAAAGAAA
rnacentral:lncRNA from 1 species